rnacentral:rRNA from 1 species
GACGAACGCUGGCGGCGCGCUUAACACAUGCAAGUCGAACGGAAAGGCCUGCUUUCCCUUGUGGAUUGCGGGUACUCGAGUGGCGAACGGGUGAGUAACACGUGAGUGAUCUGCCCCCAACUUGGGUAUAAGCCUGGGAAACUGGGUCUAAUUCCCGAUAGGACUGCAGGGUGGUGCCUGUGGUGGAAAACGAUUUUCUAGUGGUUGGGGAUGAGCUCGCGGCCUAUCAGCUUGUUGGUGGGGUAAUGGCCUACCAAGGCGGCGACGGGUAGCCGGCCUGGGAGGGUGGACGGCCACAUUGGGACUGAGAUACGGCCCAGACUCCUACGGGAGGCAGCAGUGGGGAAUAUUGCACAAUGGGCGGAAGCCUGAGGCAGCGACGCCGCGUGGGGGAUGACGGCCUUCGGGUUGUAAACUCCUUUCGACCGCGAGGAAGCCACCUGGUUGGAAGGGUGGUGACGGUAGUGGUAGAAGAAGCACCGGCUAACUACGUG